GCGUGGUGCUACGUCAAGACCAGCACAGUUGCUAUAAAGUGAAAUGAUCAUCAACAGACUGUUGAAGUCUUCGAUGGUCUGGGACUGAUUAGUCAGAUAUAGAUACUCAACAAGAAUAGAGAGAAAUUGUAGGUCGAGACACUGACUUGUCUUCACAUAAAUUCGACUUUAAAAUGUUUUAUUCAAAUUCAUGGACCAAGUGCUUGAUAUACCUUAUCUUUAUAACAAGUGGAAAUUCUGAAUGUCCCAAACCACAAGUGGAGAGAAAUGAACAUGUCGUUCUAACGAAUGAUGCACUCCUAAAGAACGAUUUUCCGGAGGGCUCGGAAGUAUUGUUUCAAUGUACCAACGGCUACAUGAAAGCGCAAGGAUCUGAAAGCAUCACCUGCACGAGUGGAGAGUGGAGCACCCUGGAAUUAAUCUGCAAAAAGAAGGACUGCGGUGCACCUAAGGAGAUGCCACAUUUGACAUAUGAGUUUGAUAAGGAAGGGACGCUUUUUGGUGCAUCAGCAAGAGCAAUUUGUGAUAAAGGCUAUCAAAUUCAGGGAUCAAGUUACAGACAGUGUUAUGCCACCGGUUGGAGUGGAAGAUCAAGAUGUGAAGGUAAAUCUUACAUAUUUCCCAUUGACACACCUUGGACAUCUUAGGCAUUGAACUUGUUUGAAUGAAGAACACCAAUUACUGCUGAACGAUUAGUGCUUUUUAGAGUCUGGUUUGCGUUCUAUUAUUAUUUUAGAGACAUGGUGAACGUUCAAUUACCAAAACAUUGACUGUAACUACCUAUUGGGUAACAAGUACAAUUUACAAUUUAAUAAUAAUAAUAAUAAUAAUCCCAGACCUCAAAAGUGGUCUCCUGUAUUGUUUGAAGCACUGUUUGCGGAUUUAGAAAAUCCAAAUUACACUACAAAAAUAUAAACGCAACAUAAACGCAUGUCUCACGUUUCAUGAGCUGAACUAAAAGAUCUCAGAAAUGUUACAUACAAGUGUAUUUCUCUUAAAUUUUGCCACAAAUUGGUUUACAUCCCUGUUAGUGAGCAUUUCUCCUUUGCAAAGAUCAUCCACCAGACAGAUAUGUCAUAUCAAGAAGCUGAUUAAACCGCAUGAUCAUUACACAGGUGCACCUUCUGACAAUAAAAUGCCACUCUAGAAUGUCCAGUGUUGUCACAACACAAUGCCACAGAAGUUUUGAGUGAGCGUGCAAUUGGAAUUUUUAAAUUUAAAUGUGAAAUGUAAAAUCUGGUAUGGUCAGCCAUAAGCUACGGACAACGAACACAAUUGCAUUUAUUGAUUAGCAAUUGGAUGCACAAAAAUACCGUGAUGAGAUCCUGAGCCCCAUUGAGGCUUUUUUUUUCCUGUGACCAACAGAUGCAUUUCUGUAUUCCCAUUCAUGUGAAAUCCAUUGAUUAGGGCCUAAAGAAUUUAUUUCAAUUGCCUGAUUUCCUCAUAUGAACUAUAACUCAGUUAAAUCUUAAAUUGUUGCAUUUUGUUCAGAAUAUAUAUUUUUUCUAUUAAAGUGUGAUUUCAUUUGUGUUUUUUUGUGGAAAACCUGAAGAAAUGGGAAAACAAACCUGGAAAAACAGAAUAGCAUUUUGGGGAAAAUUCAAUGGAAUCAGGCAGAAAAUUAGGGCCCUGCAAUUCACAUGAAUGUAGUGUUAAUAAACUACUUCCUUUAGCCCAGCAGUUCUUGGGAGAAUCUCAAUUGCAUAGUCCUCGCGUCCUUUCCUUCUCAAAAAUAUUGGAUGAAAAAAAAGGGGGGUUUUGAGGAGAUGGGACGCAAGGAGUAUGCAUGCAAUUGCGAUUUGCCCCUCGACUUGAUUUCUAUUGUAAAUUAUUUGGUUUCGGUCUAGAGAAACAGCGAAUCUGGCUCACAAAAAAGACUUCGGUCAAUUAGUAGUUUAAUAGCCCAAAAAUUAUAAUUUGGUUGGUCGCUCAGCACUAACAAAUAUAAUGCACCCAUGUAUGUCUCCCUCAGUGGUAACUUGUGAAGAACCUAUUGAUAUAAUGAAUGGCAUGAUCUCAGAGAAGCCUGACAAACAGUUUCCAGAGUAUGGGGAUGUCAUACAGUAUUCCUGUGAUGAAGGUUACACCCUCAUUGGAAACAUAUCCAUUGAGUGUGAUGAAGAUGGUGAAUACUCAUUUCUUCCUGAAUGCAAAGAUGUCAAUGACAUUCCUUUGAAACCAACAACUAUAUCAGCAUCAAUAACAACAUUGACUGUUCCACCCACAAUACAAGGGACGCAUCAUAGCAUUGGUGAACAUGACACCAACACCUCUACAAAUGUCAAUGACAUUCCUUUGAAAUCAGCAUCAAUAACAACAUCGACUGUUCCACCCACAAUACAAGUUUCAGGGAGGCAUCAUGAAAUUGGUGAACAUGACAUCAACGCAGCUACAAGGAAUGCAGCAGCCAAGGGAAGUGUGAUCGGCAUCUGCAUAGUCAUAGUUAUACUUAUUGUGCUGUUCGUAUUAUAUUGUUUUCAGAAGAGGAAAGGCUCCUACCAGACAGGAGAAGACUCUAGAAGAAAAGAGGAGUUAUUACAAUUUCAAAAUGACUAAGUUGAAUGCCUACCCAAGGGCUAGGACUGCUCCUAUCUGCUAGUCUGCAUCUGUCCUUGAAAAGAAGUGCCCAGUAAUUGUCUCAGACCAUUCCCUGGUUGAACAAAGCCACUUAAUUUACAGUGCCCUUUACGUAUGUGACAUUACUGAAUGGAAGUUAUAAUUGUACUUUUUUUAUGAUGUAAUUAUUUUUUGAAAGUCAAUGUAAAUGUUUUAACCCUAUGUUUUUUAAUGUAUUUAUAUUGAAAACUGGAACAUGUGUAAUAAAGCUUUUUGCCUACAAAUUGCUAGUCAGCUGUGUUGAGUGGGCAGAAGGCCCUGUAAUAAGAUUAAUGCACUAAACAAAAUGUAUGAUUGAGGCUCAAAGGCUAAUCAUCUCUGACCAUUCCAAAAUGUGUGCGGAAUGAUUGCGGCUCAAAGGAAAAUAAUCUGGGUCUGGUAACGCGGACAUUCCUGUUAAAUCUAACGUUACUUUGUAUUUAUUUUCAAGUAGGCUCAAUGUGGGUCUGGGAAACCAGCUCAUGUUCAUUUCCUGGCCCCAAAUGUGUGAUUUAAAGGAAAGGUUCGCCCAUUUUGAAUGUUAUAUAUUUUUUUGUGCAUCUGAGUGACGUUCUAUCGAUUCCCUGGGUCUUUUCAUGUGUAUCCGAGUUAUUGGCGUUCAAGCAGGCAGACAUGUGGCCGGUAUUACGUAGCACUGUGAUAAAGUCCCUCUCACUACACUGGAAAUUAAUAGGAAUCCAACUUUUAGAUCGCGAAAAUGUCUAUCAUUCAUGUCAGACUGUAAUACUUGCCGACGUCAUAACUCGGGAGGAUGUCUUCUUUCGAAUGAGUGAUGGCUCAUAUUUUUAGCGAUAUUUCUACCUCGAGAAAUUUGUAAUUUAACGAAUGGUCUAGCAUAUUGUUCCUAUUUGCCUCUAGUCCAGGGUGCAUUGCAUGGUGCUGUUGCCAAAUAUCUUAUAGAAAUUCGUGCUAAUGUAUUUUUGUUUAGCUAGUGCCCAAUAGACUCCGAUUCACUCCUUCAAGGAGAGCGUGUCUUGUCAAAGAAUUGCCCAGAAUGCACCGCGCGGCCCCUUUGUGUAGCUUGGUCCGCGUUUCCCAUCUCAAAAGUAUAUCUGCCGUUGCGAAUGUUAUACUCCAUUCUGUGAGGCACAUCGAUCUGCAGGUUGAACAUGGUCCCAGCAUGAGGCUUCUGGUAUCUGAUGCAAUGGAGACAUUGAGGCAAAACGUCAAUAAGUAACACUUCACAACAGGGGACUGUACUUGGUGAAAAUUCCUAAAUGAUGCAAAUAUUUAUUUCUGUUCUGGUUACAUGUAUUUCAUGGAUCAUCAAAAUAAAUGUACACAUGUAGGCUACAGUAUGCUAAAAAUACCUCCAUACUGUACCUUCCCCCUCACCUGG